UCAAAAACAUAGCUUAAAGAAUAUAUUUUAAGUAAAUUCUGCCCAGCGUAAAUUUAAUUAGCGGCCGCAGUACCUUGACUGUGCUAAGGUAGCAUAAUCAAUUGGCUUUUAAUUGAAGUCUGGAAUGAAAGGAAAAAUAAAGAAUUAACUGUCUCUUUUUAAUUUAUGUGAAUUUAUUUAUUAAGUGAAAAUACUUAAAUUUAGAAAAAAGACGAGAAGACCCUUAGAAUUUUUAUUAAUAUUAUUUUUUGUAUUUAUAUUUUUGUUGGGGCGACAAUGAAACAUAUUUAACUUUUAAGUUUUUCAAGACAUUAAUUUUUGUACGGUUAAAUUACCUUAGGGAUAACAGCAUAAUAAUUUAUAUAGCUUAUGACCUCGAUGUUGGACUAGGAACUAAAAGACUAACCGUCAAAAUAGAUUGUUCUGUUCGAACAAAAAUCUCCUACGUGAUCUGA
rnacentral:rRNA from 1 species